GACGAACGCUGGCGGCGUGCCUAACACAUGCAAGUCGAACGGAGAUACGAUUUCGGUUGUAUCUUAGUGGCGAACGGGUGAGUAACGCGUGAGCAACCUGACUCUUAGAGGGGGAUAACACUGGGAAACGAGUGCUAAUACCGCAUAAGACCACGACUUGGCAUCAUGACGAGGUCAAAGGAGCAAUCCGCUGAGAGAGGGGCUCGCGUCCCAUUAGAUAGAUGGCGGGGUAACGGCCCACCAUGUCAACGAGGGGUAGCCGAGCUGAGAGGGGGAUCGGCCACACUGGAACUGAGACACGGUCCAGACUCCUACGGGAGGCAGCAGUGGGGAAUAUUGGGCAAUGGGCGCAAGCCUGACCCAGCAACGCCGCGUGAGGGAAGAAGGCUUUCGGGUUGUAAACCUCUGUCCUUGGUGACGAAAAAAAUGACGGUAGCCAAGGAGGAAGCCCCGGCUAACUACGUGCCAGCCGCCGCCGUAAAAC
rnacentral:rRNA from 1 species